AUAUCUCUCUAUACGGGAAGGAUGAGAAGCUUCGACUAAGGUUCGAUUCGAGCGUCAGCGAGAAAGCGUUGCCGCAGGCAACGACCCGAAGGGCGAAGCGCGCAGCGCUGAGUCAUCCUUCCCCCACCACCA
rnacentral:sRNA from 4 species